CGGGACGUAGCGCAGUCUGGCUAGCGCAUCUGCAUGGGGUGCAGGGGGUCGGAGGUUCGAAUCCUCUCGUCCCGACCA
rnacentral:tRNA from 3 species